rnacentral:rRNA from 1 species
AUUGAACGCUGGCGGCAUGCCUUACACAUGCAAGUCGAACGGCAGCACGGGAGCAAUCCUGGUGGCGAGUGGCGAACGGGUGAGUAAUGUAUCGGAACGUACCUUUCAGUGGGGGAUAACGUAGCGAAAGUUACGCUAAUACCGCAUAUUCUGUGAGCAGGAAAGCAGGGGAUCGCAAGACCUUGCGCUGAUUGAGCGGCCGAUAUCAGAUUAGCUAGUUGGUGGGGUAAAGGCUCACCAAGGCGACGAUCCGUAGCGGGUCUGAGAGGAUGAUCCGCCACACUGGAACUGAGACACGGUCCAGACUCCUACGGGAGGCAGCAGUGGGGAAUUUUGGACAAUGGGCGCAAGCCUGAUCCAGCCAUGCCGCGUGAGUGAAGAAGGCCUCGGUU